rnacentral:rRNA from 1 species
UACGAAGGGGGCUAGCGUUGCUCGGAAUUACUGGGCGUAAAGCGCACGUAGGCGGCUUUGUAGGUUAGAGGUGAAAGCCUGGAGCUCAACUCCAGAAUUGCCUUUAAGACUGCAUCGCUUGAAUCCAGGAGAGGUGAGUGGAAUUCCGAGUGUAGAGGUGAAAUUCGUAGAUAUUCGGAAGAACACCAGUGGCGAAGGCGGCUCACUGGACUGGUAUUGACGCUGAGGUGCGAAAGCGUGGGGAGCAAACAGG